UGAGGAAUAUUGGUCAAUGGUCGGGAGACUGAACCAGCCAAGCCGCGUGAGGGAGGAAGGUACAGAGUAUCGUAAACCUCUUUUGUCAGGGAACAAAAGCGGGGACGUGUCCCCGGAUGAGUGUACCUGAAGAAAAAGCAUCGGCUAACUCCGUGCC
rnacentral:rRNA from 1 species